AUUGAACGCUGGCGGCAGGCCUAACACAUGCAAGUCGAACGAGUGGCGGACUGGUGAGUAAUGUCUGGGAAACUACCUGAUGGAGGGGGAUAACUACUGGAAACUGUAGCUAAUACCGCAUACCAUCAGAUGUGCCCAAAUGGGAUUAGUUUGUUGGUGGGGUAACGGCUCACCAAGCCGACGAUCCCUAGCUGGUCUGAGAGGAUGACACGCCACAAUGGAACUGAGACACGGUCCAGACUCCUACGGGAGGCAGCAGUGGGGAAUAUUGCACAAUGGGCGCAAGCCUGAUGCAGCCAUGCCGCGUGUGUGAAGAAGGCCUUCGGGUUGUAAAGUACUUUCAGCGGGGAGGCGUUACCCACAGAAGAAGCACCGGCUAACUCCGUGCCAGCCGCCGCGGUAAUAC
rnacentral:rRNA from 1 species